AUUGAAUGAUGAGAAAAUACCUCUUGGUCCGUGUUUAUGACACUUAUGAUUCAUUAAAGAGGUCUGAGGAG